rnacentral:rRNA from 1 species
UGGUGCCAGCCGCCGCGGUAAUACAGAGAGUGCAAGCGUUAAUCGGAAUCACUGGGCGUAAAGCGCGCGUAGGUGGAUGUUUAAGUCGGAUGUGAAAACCCUGGGCUUAACCUGGGAAUUGCACCCGAUACUGGGCAUCUCGAGUAUGGUAGAGGGAAGUGGAAUUUCCGAUGUAGCGGUGAAAUGCGUAGAUAUCGGAAGGAACACCAGUGGCGAAGGCGGCUUCCUGGACCAAUACUGACACUGAGGCGCGAAAGCGUGGGGAGCAAACAGGAUUAGAUACCCUGGUAGUCCCG